GUAGUCGCUUCAGCAGCACAUAUACUAAAAUUGGAAUGAUACAGAGAUUAGCAUGGCCCCUGAGCAAGGAUGACACACAAAUUCAAGAAGCAUUUCAUAUUUUU